rnacentral:rRNA from 1 species
GAUGAACGCUGGCGGCGUGCCUAAUACAUGCAAGUCGAGCGAACAGACGAGGAGCUUGCUCCUCUGACGUUAGCGGCGGACGGGUGAGUAACACGUGGAUAACCUACCUAUAAGACUGGGAUAACUUUGGGAAACCGGAGCAAAUACCGGAUAAUAUAUUGAACCGCAUGGUUCAAUAGUGAAAGACGGUUUUGCUGUCACUUAUAGAUGGAUCCGCGCCGCAUUAGCUAGUUGGUAAGGUAACGGCUUACCAAGGCGACGAUGCGUAGCCGACCUGAGAGGGUGAUCGGCCACACUGGAACUGAGACACGGUCCAGACUCCUACGGGAGGCAGCAGUAGGGAAUCUUCCGCAAUGGGCGAAAGCCUGACGGAGCAACGCCGCGUGAGUGAUGAAGGUCUUCGGAUCGUAAAACUCUGUUAUUAGGGAAGAACAAAUGUGUAAGUAACUAUGCACGUCUUGACGGUACCUAAUCAGAAAGCCACGGCUAACUACGUG